UAGGCGGGGACAGGAUUCGAACCUGCAGUCUUCAGGUCAUGAGCCUGAUGAGUUGACCAAUUCCUCUACCCCGC
rnacentral:tRNA from 1 species